rnacentral:rRNA from 1 species
GCUGGAAUGAAAGGUUGGACGAAAAACUCUCUGUCUCCUGAGCCAUAAAUUAAAACUAAUCUCAGGGUGAAAAAGCCCUGAUCCAAUCGAAGGACAAAAAGACCCUAUCGAGCUUAAGCCCAAAGUAUAAUUUAAAAUAGACAAUUAUAAAUCGGCUUUUGUUGGGGCAACAACAGGGAAAUUAAAAACCCCUGUAAUUUAAAGCUAAAUAAAGAAUAAAACCAGUUCUACUGAAUAUAAAAAAGCUACCGUAGGGAUAACAGCGUAAUUCCUUAAUAGAGACCCUAUCGAAUAAGGAGAUUGCGACCUCGAUGUUGGACUAGGAGCCCUCUUUAACGCAGAAGUUAAAGAAAGUUGGUCUGUUCGACCAUAAAAAUCCUACGUGAUCUGAGUUCA